rnacentral:rRNA from 1 species
AACGAACGGUGGCGGCGUGGAUAAGACAUGCAAGUCGAACGGGAUUUUAUUUGUAGCAAUACCGAUAAAGUUCAGUGGCGUAAGGGUGCGUAACACGUGGGCAAUCUGCCCUGAAGCGCGGGAUAGCUUGGCGAAAGCCAAAUUAAUACCGCAUGUGGCUAUUGGAGGAGUCUCCGGGAUGCUAAAGACGGCGCAAGCUGUCACUUCAGGAUGAGCCCGCGGCCUAUCAGCUAGUUGGUGAGGUAACGGCUCACCAAGGCUAUGACGGGUAGCUGGUCUGAGAGGACGACCAGCCACACUGGAACUGAGACACGGUCCAGACACCUACGGGUGGCAGCAGUCGAGAAUUUUUCUCAAUGGGGGAAACCCUGAAGGAGCGACGCCGCGUGGAGGAUGAAGGUUUUCGGAUUGUAAACUCCUGUCAUUUGGGAACAAACCUUUCAUUUAACUGAUGAAAGACUGAUAGUACCAGAAGAGGAAGAGACGGCUAACUCUG